rnacentral:rRNA from 1 species
UACGUAAGUGGCGAGCGUUAUCCGGAAUUACUGGGCGUAAAGCGCACGUAGGCGGCUUUCUAAGUCGGGGGGUGAAAUCCUGGAGCUCAACUCCAGAACUGCCUUCGAUACUGGCGAUCUCGAGUUCGGGAGAGGUGAGUGGAACUGCGAGUGUAGAGGUGAAAUUCGUAGAUAUUCGCAAGAACACCAGUGGCGAAGGCGGCUCACUGGCCCGGAACUGACGCUGAGGUGCGAAAGCGUGGGGAGCAAACAGG